GACGAACGCUGGCGGCGUGCUUAACACAUGCAAGUCGAACGGAAAGGCCCUGCUUUUGUGGGGUGCUCGAGUGGCGAACGGGUGAGUAACACGUGAGUAACCUGCCCUUGACUUUGGGAUAACUUCAGGAAACUGGGGCUAAUACCGGAUAGGAGCUCCUGCUGCAUGGUGGGGGUUGGAAAGUUUCGGCGGUUGGGGAUGGACUCGCGGCUUAUCAGCUUGUUGGUGGGGUAGUGGCUUACCAAGGCUUUGACGGGUAGCCGGCCUGAGAGGGUGACCGGCCACAUUGGGACUGAGAUACGGCCCAGACUCCUACGGGAGGCAGCAGUGGGGAAUAUUGUACAAUGGGCGGAAGCCUGAUGCAGCAACGCCGCGUGCGGGAUGACGGCCUUCGGGUUGUAAACCGCUUUCGCCUGUGACGAAGCAUGAGUGACGGUAAUGGGUAAAGAAGCACCGGCUAACUACGUG
rnacentral:rRNA from 1 species